GAUGAGAACGCAGCGAAAUGCGAUAAGUAAUGUGAAUUGCAGAAUUCAGUGAGUCAUCGAAUCUUUGAACGCACAUUGCGCCCGCCAGUAUUCUGGCGAGCAUGCCUGUUCGAGCGUCAUUUCAACCAUCAAGCCCCAGGCUUGUGUUGGAGCCCUGCGGCUGCCGCAGCCUCCCAAAACCAGUGGCGGGCUCGCUAUCACACCGAGUGCAGUAGUUUACUCUUCGCUCAGGGCGUGUGGCGGGUGCUAGCCGUGAAACCCCCAACUUCUCAAGGUUGACCUCGGAUCAGGUAGGAAUACCCGCUGAACUUAAGCAUAUCAAUAAGCGGAGGA
rnacentral:misc_RNA from 1 species